rnacentral:tRNA from 1 species
CGAAGGAGAUUGGAAUCGAACCAACUAUCUAUCGGUUAACAGCCGAUCGCAUAUACCUUUUAUGCUUCUCCUCC